GACGAACGCUGGCGGCGUGCUUAACACAUGCAAGUCGAACGGAAAGGCCCUGCUUUUGUGGGGUGCUCGAGUGGCGAACGGGUGAGUAACACGUGAGUAACCUGCCCUUGACUUUGGUAUAACUUCACGAAACUGGGGUUAAUACCGUAUAGCAGACCCUGCUCCGUGGUGGGGGUUGGAAAGUCUCGGCUGUUGGGGAUGGACUCGCGGGUUAACAGCUUGCUGGUGGGGGAGUGGCUUACCAAGGCAUUGACCGGUAGCCGGCCUGAGUGGGUGAACGGCCACAUUGGGACUGAGGGACGGCCCAGACGGCUACGGGAGGCAGCAGGGGGGAAUAUUGCACAAUGGGCGGAAGCCUGAGGAAGCAACGCCGCGUGCGGGAAGACGGCCUUCGGGGUGUAAACAGCUUUCGCCUGUGACGAAGCGUGAGUGACGGUAAUGGAUAAAGAAGCACCGGCUAACUACGUG
rnacentral:rRNA from 1 species